GGAGAGGUUGUGGCUCAAUGGUAGAGCACCUGCUUCGCCAGCAGAAGGUCGUAGGUUCAAUCCCCAGCAUCUCCA
rnacentral:tRNA from 1 species